ACUCUCGCGCGAACUAAUUCAAAAAAAUUCAAUCGAGUUCCAACCAUAGCGUUCGAAACUCAAUUGAACUUCUCCACGGCUUUUCGUUUCUGGCGGGGCUUUCUACACAGCACGUUCGAAAUCGACGGCAUCGACCCUCGUUCGAACUUCGUUCCAAAUUUGUCGAAUCAAUUCUACACAAAGGGCCAUCUUACUUGCUUCCUCAAAUAUUCAAAGUCAUACUUCCUUCCUCCAAAGUGACUUCCAAAUUUGGAACCCUAGAAGUAAAUUUUGUUAUUUCUAUUAAAUUUGUUAAAUUAAUUUAGUGCUCAUGUUUAAUUAUGCAUGGUCAUUGAUGAAAUUUGCGGAAUUUUGUGGAAUUUGGGGGAACUUUGGGUUUGAUGUAGGUUUAUGAACUCUUGUUGACAAGUCGUGUAUAGGGCUUAUAUUGUUGAAUUUGGUUGUAGUGAAGUUAUAUUGUUGACUUAAGAUUGAGUUAUGUUGAUGAAAUCCUGUUUAAUUUUAUGAAUUAACUUAAGUUUGCCAAAUUCAUGAUGCUUUGUUCACGGGUGAUGUAUUGUUAUGAAAACUGGUUGACAUGUUAUGUUAUAUUGUUGAAUUUGGCUGCGUUGAAGUUAUAGUGCUGACUUGGGGAUGAGUUGCGUUGAUGAAAGCUUGUAUAAUAUUAUCAAUGAACUUGAUGUUUAUAAAUUCAUGAAGCUUUGUUUACCCUAAACCCUAAGAAGAUUUAAUGACUCGCGCCGAAUUGGGAAGAGCUUUUAAAUAAUCCAAACACGAAGAUGAUGCCUUGAAGAUUGGUAUGGUUUACUUUGUGGAUGGUGUCUUGGUAGGAGUGAGGAGGAGAACCUCUCGUUUGCUGGUUUUAGGAGAAGGAGAAGAAAACAGGAAUGGGAUGUGGACAAAGAGGAUGAGGAGGAAGAAGAAGGGAGGGCAAACAAGAAGGGGCAGAGAACCAAACGGUACUGCAAAGACUUUACAUAUGCUUUUCAGGUACUAUGUGUUGUGUUUGUAGUUAAUAUUGGUUAUAUAUUAUUGUGGUUGGGAAAAAAUUUAGUAUACAUGUAGGUGUGGGCAUAUGAAGUAUCUCUCCAAUUUGAGAAGUCAUUACGUUAUUGUAAGAUGAUUGAUCUGGAAUCCAGCCCGCGACUUCUCUAGUGGAAAAAAACCAUGAAGCAUCCUAGUUUGAGCAGCUCAAGAUGUACAUCAGCGAAAGUCGAGAUUUGAUAACUUGUGGGCAUUCAGCGCAUUUUGCCACUGAAGAGGAGAGGAAGCAAGCCUAUUGGACGUGGGGAGAUGAUGAGGAUCUUCUUAUGCCCGACAACCCAACCCUCGACACAAAUAAUGAAGGUGAAUUGAAACUAGAGAUCAAGCAGUUAAAGAUUUCUUUGGCGUGAAUGGCACAUGAGAAAUAUUAGACAGGAAAAUAUGGAGAAAGAUCGAAGAGUUAACCACAGUUGUGGAAGAAUUAAGAAAGGACGCUAAGACAAAAGUGGUGGAGGAGUCCAAUGAGAAAGAAGAAGGCAGUGAGAAAGAAUAUGAGGAAGAGGGUGGUGAGGAAGACAGUGAGAAAGAAGGUGGUGAGGAAGAAGGCAAGGAAGAAGGUGAGGAACCGAACAAGGGAGAAAGGGAGGAGAAAACAGAGGCCGAUGCAAAGGAGAAAGAUAGGGAAGUUCCUGAUGGGGAAGAAAGUGAGAAAUCGAGAGGGAAUGAUGGUGAGGACAGAGGGAAGGCCAUUGAGUUGGAAGAAAAAGAAGAGGGUUUGAAGCUAGUACACGGGACUGGUGAUUGGGACAGUCCUACAAAUAUUUGUGUAAAACUUGUUAAGUUACUAGAAGAAGCAGUUGCAGGCCGGUACAAGGACAUUAAUGGUUCCGAUGAUGAAUAUGACGUAGUGGUAUCAUUGUUGAUGGGGAGCAUUUAGGAAAGAAAAUGAAGGUCUAUUUGACAAGGGUGACAGCCAAAGCUAAGGCACUUGGAAAGAAUAAAAAAACAGGAACGCAAAGUCGCCAUAUAUCAAACGGGAUGGUCUUUGACCUCACCAAAUGCAGAAGGCCUGAUGUCGGUCAGCCUUUGGAGGAUGUGGUGCAUAUAGAUGUCCCCAACAAAAAUGUGGAUCAACAAUGCGUGGUUGAUAUGAUGGACUUUUUUUUAUUAGUUCAAGAAUCAGAACGAGAACGAGAAGAAUAUGGUGGCCCCGUUAGCCAAUAGAACGCUUGGGGACACUGAAUUUUAGUGGCGCAUCUGUUCGGGCAAAGAUUUCUCUGGAGAAGGCUCCUCGGACCUUAGCACAGCUCUCCAAGGGAUUGGCACUUUGGAUGUGUAGUCGGGCUCUUGCUUGUUGAUGUGCAACAAGAAGAGAACAAAGUUAGUUCUGAAAGGUGCCUUUGUGGGGCCUUAGAUGUAGGCCUUGAGAUUCACAAUCAAAACUAACUAAGUGCUAGGCAUGCCAUUGCUAUCUCAGUAGAGCAGAUGUAGAACAAAUGUGUUUUAAGUUGAUUACUUGCGCCCCAAGUUACUCUAACCUCUUGUUAUCAAAGGAUUGUUAUGGAUGGGUUAAGUCCACAUUAAGUUCUUUUUCUUGCCUUGUAAACAAGGACUUACAAUUCAUAGUCUUGUAUGUUCAGAUGAAAGGAGUCCAUAGCCCCUU